CUCAGCACGCACUUCCUCCUGCCCAGGGACCAAUCAGCACACACUUCCUCCAUUUUGAGCCCAUAAAAACCCCAGCUUCAGCUGGACUCAAGGUAAGUAAGGACUACCCUUAGGAGCUGCCCGCUUUGGGUCUCCUCUCUGCUGAGCUGUUCUGCUACUCAGUAAAACUUCUCCACCUUGCUCACCUUCCAGUUGUCCACGUAACCUCAUUCUUCCUGGACAAAGGACCAGAAUUCGGGACCCACCCAACAGUGGGCAUGAAAAGGGCUGCAACACUUUCCUGGCCAACUCACCAAACUGUGGUGGUGACAUGCUCCCAUUUGCUGGACUGCAGGAGUGAAAAGCAGUGACACUUCUGGGGGCCGAGACAUCAGGAUUUCCCAAGCCAGGGCUGUAACACUAUAGCCUUCCUGCCUUCUGCCUGCAUUGGGCAGCUGCCCCAUGUGACAGGAAGUGGCAGUGGAGCUGGGCCAGCCUGGGAGCCGCCGGCUGGGGUGAGGUGGUGGGACUGAACAAGCUGAAACCUGCUCCCCCUGCUCGCCGAGCCGCGGGUGGAGAGAAUGAGAGAGCACGCCUGACCCACUCCUUGAGGCUCUGCAGUUGCUGGCGUCCCCAAGUUUUUAGGUGCCACCGCAUCCCCCUUUUCCAGACACCAGCACCUGCACCAGAAACUACGUGUGGUACGCCUGCUCCAGCUGCAGCCUGGCAAGGAGCCGGCACCUCUGCCAGCACCCAGAGCUGCCUGCCCCACCACAGCUGGCCGGACCCUGUGUUAGCUCUCUCACACACCCUUCAGUGCUCUGAGCCUGGUUUGCCCUCAUCAGGCGUGGGAUCCGGGUUGGGCGAACUGAGUGCAGCCUGCCGGGCUGAGUGGGUGGAACGAGCACAGUGGGAGUGAGUGAAACUCAAGCAGGGGCGCCACAGGCCACAAUGGUUCCCGGCUGGCAGAGUGACACCUGAAGGAUCCCGUGACAUUUCGAUUAUUUCUGCUCAUAGCAUAAACUCUUAUAUACACGAAUAGUACUUUUGCUUUAAUUUCAAAAGACUUGUAAAUGGACAGUCUUCACUUUUUCAUCAAUCUAAUCAGCAGAAUACUGAGACUACGAAGUUAACAUGAACACCCUCCAGUGGCUGGCUCUGCAGCACAACAGAAACAUUUUUACCCU
rnacentral:lncRNA from 1 species